rnacentral:lncRNA from 1 species
AACAUGAUGAACGACGGAUUCCAAUCGGGUCCCGGAACCGUCCUCCCCGCUCGUCCCUCGAUCCCCGUAUCAUCCUCUCCCUUCGUCCAAUCCAACCUCCCUCCGCUUCCGCUGUCUUCAUCCUCCGCCGCCCAGAAAGUGACCCCCGUCCCAGCCCCUCCGCCGCUUCCGCCGGCGGUUAACUUCGGCAGCUCGGAAGGCUCGAAGACGAUCGGAUUCGGGUCUCCGCCGAACACGUUGACGGAGCCGGUGUGGG